UAAUUUAUAUUUUAUUGGUGUUCAAUUUGCCAACAUAUAGAAGAUCCACUUCCAAGCUCAGCCAUGUGGUGGCUUGUAGGCAUCAUUUCUCGUGGGCUGUUGGGUAGCUCACCACAUGGUUUCUCCGUAGGCACAUGGCAGCUAGCUUCCCCAGAGUGACUGAUCUAAGAGAGAAACUGGAGAGGAAAGGAACAGAGGUGAGAGUGCCGUGUGGCACUGCAAUCUUUUACAACCUAAUCUUGGAAGUGACAUACAUCAUCUCUGCUAUAUUCUGUUGGUCACACAGGCCAACUCUGGGUGGGGCUACAUGAGGGUGUGAACCCAAGAGGCAGGAUCUCUGGAGGCCACUGGGAGGCUGGAUUACAGGAAUGCCCCUCUGGGAAAUCACAGAGGGUGAGGACCUGCAUUUCCCCAAAGGAAGUCAUGCAUCGUAAACAAAAAGUAGAUAGAUGUCUGCUACAAAUGAAUAUUUAAAUUCACAUCAUCAUUAACUCACUCAAGGCAGCACAAGGAAAGGUCUGGUGAAAACAGUGCUAUGAGUUAUUUCUCUUUAUCUGUGGCUCAUCCCAUGCUCCUUAAGAAUAUUUUUUUUCUGCUGCGAGCUGAUGUUUCCUGGUCAGCAUUUAUUUGUGCAAAGGCUUUCACAAGCAAUUCAACUGCUGAUGUAGAAAUAGGUUUUGUAGAUCUUGGGGGUACACCAGUAUUUGGGGGUGUGACUCUUACAUGAAUUGUCCUGGCAGCUGCUUACUGUUUCUCCAAAGUUCUCCUUUCUCUGAUGCUCUUUAAUGCUUUCAACUUAUAGCAGAGAGAAGGCAUCAGCUCUAGCCUGGUACAUUUCCACCGAGAGGAGGUGGGGUGCAGGACUGGAGCAGCCCCGGGAACAGCAUACAGCUGAACCCACUACAAGGCAAGAGGUGGUUGUUCAAAAGUAGGCGUUCUGAUUCUGUGCAUUGGGAUAGAUGUUCUGCGGUAGUGUUCCCCUGAGACGACGUGGAAUAGGUAAAUGCUGUUUUCUCAUUAGGGAUUAAUGGUGUACACAGGCAAGGUGAUUUCUGAGACUUCGGUCUCUGGUUAAAGUACCGCCAGCAACUGAGCCAUCCUGACACCCCACUGCUCUCAGUAAUGAGAAAUCACUCUUUGCCUUCCCACCGCCCCGCCAGGAAGAAGGCUGCCAGCUAUCGUGUAACCCAUACCCAGACAGCUGAUGGAAGAUUUUGCUUCUCCUCCCUCCAAGCUUUUGGAAAGUAAUAAAAGCAAUGUAGAAAACGAGCGACUCAGGAAAUGGGUUGAAAGAGGAGGAGUUUGGAAUGUUCCACCACUUUACCUUAGGGAGUGGGGGGAGCUCUAGUGCAGCACUUGGAAUUACCUGCCACCUGUCGUUGUAUUGGAAGAAGCAGAGCUCAGAGAAACUGCCACGUGAUCUUCCUGAGAAGCUAAUUCUUGAAGCAAGGAUCCACCAACAGGUACAUGCUUUGGGAGACAGGACUAGACUACACAUAAGAAAACUGAGGCCCGGUGAAGUCACUUCAUCCUGCCUCCUGAGCUGCACUGAUAAGGUCCUGAGAUGCCACCAGUCCCAACUGACUGCCAGUGCUGAGCAAGAGGGGGACCCCUGGAGGGGACUGCCUCUGUAGACCUCUGCACUUAAACCUGGCCAUGGGCAGUGUUCUCUUGGCUGGGGAGAGAGGAAGGAUUGUGUGUCUGUGAAAGCAGCAGAGAGAAGGUCA